rnacentral:rRNA from 1 species
AAAUCAGGUAGGACUACCCGCUGAACUUAAGCAUAUCAAUAAGCGGAGGAAGGAACAUUAUUGAAUUUUAUUAAUGAGGAGUUGAGUUGUUGCUGGC